GGACACGCCAUAUACUCAGUUCGAAAGUGCCUGAUCCCAAUGAUCUCAGAAGUUAUGCAGACUUGGGCCUGAUUAGUACUUGUAUGGGAGACCAACUAGGAACCUCAGGUGCCGUAAGCU
rnacentral:rRNA from 1 species